GGACGUUUCUGAGAGGGACAGAAGUAAAAGACAGAGUCGUGACUCCUGCUUUGCUUAGUUUUGAAGAGUUGGAGAGGAGUCUAAAAGCUGCAAAGUGGACGUUUCUGAGAAGGACAGAAGUAAGAGGCAGUGUCGUGGCUCCUGCUUUGCUAACUGUCUUAAAGAGUUUAAGCGUUUAAGAGGAGUCCAAAAGCUGCAAAGUGGACG